rnacentral:tRNA from 1 species
CCUAACACUGCCUGCCUUCCCCACCAGGGCGGUGUAGACUCUGCGCCCUCAUCUUUACGCACCCCCACGCCCCGCCCUCGGGAGCGUGCCCCCGCCCCGCAGGUCCUGUGGUCCUCGCCCACCGGCAGGUCCGGGUCUGGGAGGACUGGGCCGGCGCAGGAUGGGUGGGGCCUGAAGUCUCUGCACUUUGGAGCACCCUUUUUGUGAAAAACAGAAAAUUAGCUUUGAAGGCAGGUGCUGAGAACUAUCGGGAGCUGCACGGAGGCUGAGCCCCAGCAGGAGAACAUACGCGCACAAGGACUGUCCCACCGCGAGCUGGGAAUGAGGCGGCUCUGGGGAAGGAGCAAUUCUCACUGCUUGCCAAGGACAAGUUGGAAGCAGCACCUGGCAGCCAAGUCAGAUGAAUGGAGUUACAUGACUUCCUGGGGGAGACAAGUACUGAGAGUCUGUCACGGGCAUGGCACUGAAUGGCUCAGAAGUAUAAAUGGAGAGUUCAUCUCCUUAAGUCGUCUCUACACCCAGUGCGGGGUCCGAACCCACAACCCUGCGAUCCAGUUGCAUGCUCCACCGACUGAGCCAGCUGGGCGCCCUGGAAGUUAUGUUCUGAUAUGCACUCAGNNNNNNNNNNNNNNNNNNNUGUAUCACUGCGGGCCAGUCUCUCCUAACAGUCCUGACCCAAGGUGGCCCAGUCUCAUGUCAGUGUCCCUGGCGAUCGCACAGUGUAUGUUUGAAUGA